rnacentral:tRNA from 1 species
UCCAUGAUGGCCGAGAUAUAAGGCAUCGAGCUUUUAACUCGAUCACAGUUAAUUCAUACUUCAGGAU